rnacentral:lncRNA from 1 species
AAUCUUGAUUAUGUUUUAAGAAUGUUUUUGCAGGAAUAAUUCAAGACUUCAAGACUCCAUGUCUAAGUCAUAGAGUUUGUAUUAAGGUUGUAAAGUGUAAAUUUCUUUUAUUGGAUCGAUCAUGCAGGAGAUUAUCGUUUGGUGAUUGCGAUGAUCUUCUUUUUAUUAUUUAUGAGUUGUGUACGAACUUUGUAAUAUAUUUUGUCACGAAAUCGCCAAAGGGGGAGAUUGUUAAGAAUUUUAUAGGUUGGCGGAUUUCGUAGUGUUGAAUGGAGUCUUGAAGAGUUGAUUACGGAAGAUUGAAGAAAAGAUCUAAAUUGAAGAACAAAGACCCA